AGCUAGUCUAACCUUCGGGAGGACGGUUACCACGGUGUGAUUCAUGACUGGGGUGAAGUCGUAACAAGGUAGCCGUAGGGGAACCUGCGGCUGGAUCACUCCUUAAUCGACGACA
rnacentral:rRNA from 1 species